rnacentral:rRNA from 1 species
CCUACGGGGGGCAGCAGUGGGGAAUAUUGGUCAAUGGGCGUAAGCCUGAACCAGUCAAGUCGCGUGAGGGAUGACGGUCCUAUGGAUCGUAAACUUCUUUUAUAAGGGAAUAAAGUGCGGGACGUGUCCCGUUUUGUAUGUACCUUAUGAAUAAGGAUCGGCUAACUCCGUGCCAGCAGCCGCGGUAAUACGGAGGAUCCGAGCGUUAUCCGGAUUUAUUGGGUUUAAAGGGUGCGUAGGCGGCCUGUUAAGUCAGCGGUGAAAGUCUGUGGCUCAACCAUAGAAUUGCCGUUGAAACUGGCAGGCUUGAGUAUGGUGGAGGUAGGCGGAAUUCGUGGUGUAGCGGUGAAAUGCUUAGAUAUCACGAAGAACCCCGAUUGCGAAGGCAGCCUGCCAAGCCGUGACUGACGCUGAUGCACGAAAGCGUGGGGAUCAAACAGGAUUAGAUACCCGUGUAGUC